UCAGUUCAAUUUAACUACUCAUCGGCAACGGUUUGAAUUGAAAAUGGCAUCUUCGAUGGACUUACUCUGGCUUUUUGGCAUUUUGGUUAUCAGCAGCGUGCUACUGGAAACUUCGACUCUGAACAGCGAAGUUGUGGAGUCCGUAACCGUUGCUUCGAAGUCAAGCAACUUCAGUGAAAAUGUGAAAAUAAAACUGGAAAAAACCUGGAAUCAUAAUGGAACUAUGCAGGCGCAACCGUACAAUAUUCUGGAGACCAACUGUCCUCAUGGCUAUGUCCUGGCAAAUAAACAUUGCCACAAGCGUGCCUAAACGUAUUGAAAUAAAUGUAAAUGUUACGUAAAGAUAAUUUCUGUUAUAGCACAUUUUGAAUUGAAGAUCAUAUGUUCGCAUAUAAUUACACAAUUAUAAAAUAUAUAUGAUUUAAAAGCAUCUCUGUAAGACAACUUUAAAUAGCUCUUGGCAUUCUCCUAACUUGGCACUCAAUAAAAAUUGCACCUUAUGGCAUUG
rnacentral:lncRNA from 1 species